CGCCUCGCAGCCCAGCGCCCCACCAGCCCCGCCGGCGCCGCAGACCCCAGCCUCGGGCGGGUCGGGCCCAGGCUUGCAACGCGCAGGGGAUGAAGCCACCGAGGCAGGGAGAAAAGUGCUUUGCCCUACAAGCAACUAAGUCAUAGGGCCAGGAGCAAAACCCUGAAAACCUCAGGAGACUUGCAGAGCCAUGAGGCUGGCUCAGCAACACAAAAGCCAGGGGCAAGCCUCAGCUCUAGCAGUGCGGUGGGAGCACCCAAGGCCAGUCACAUCCUAGGGUGGCCUGGAGAGUCCUGACCCCUGACGUGCAAGCCGGCAUCAUCCCCGGGACUGUGAGUCUGGUGGGGGUGAUGCCCAGGAAUGUGACAUUGUGUGGCCCAGAGGUACCCUUAAGACUGGAGGAUCACCAGGCGGGCCCUGACCUCAUCACAGGAGCCCUUUAAAAGCAGUUUCCUUUGCCUGGUUGAAGAAAUCGGAGGGAUCAAACCAAAGAAGGUUUUCUGUUGUUGAGAUGAGGGGGCCACGUGGCAAGGAUCUGAGAACUGCUCCCAGCCAACAGCCAGCAAGACAACAAGACCUUAACUGCAAGGAAGUGAGUUCUGCCAACAAGAAGAGAAUGGGCUUGGAGGCAGGUUUGACCCCAGGGCCUCCACACAAGAACUGAGCCCAACUGCCCACUUGGUUUCAGCCUUGGGUUACUAAGAAUUAGGAGGUAAUGAAUGAGAGUUGUUUUAA
rnacentral:lncRNA from 1 species